UAGAAUUUUAUUUUUGUUAAUUUUACAGGAAGAAACCGCCUGAUAGAGAUGCUAAUACAGAAGGGUGUCAGAACUGGAGCAUUGUCCAAGAACCAAUUCUCCACAUUACAUCUUGCCACUUAUAAGGGUGAUAUAGACUGUGUCCAGGGUUUGCUAGAAGGUUGAGUGGAUGUAAACCAGGAAAUAGUGGAUUGACUGCUCUUAUAUUGCUGCUAUAUGCGGACAUAAUGAGAUUGCCACUUGCCUGGUAGAACAUGAUGCAAACAUAGAUCUUGGUGAUGCUGUAAACUUUUCUCCUCUACAUAUAGCUUGCAACUUUGGACAUGAUAAGGUUGUGGAGAUAUUACUGAAACAUGGUGCUGACGUCAACAUCAGAGGAAGUGUAGGUGACAUACCACUACAUCUUGCUGCAGGAAAGGGUUAUGUAACGGUCACACAGUAUCUAGUUGAAGGUAUUGGAAACUCCAAGGCUGAUGUGCGUGUACAAGUGGCAAGAGUUUGGAUAUGAUUAAAUUUCUCCUUGACCAACCAGGUGUGAAAAUAAACUACCAUGGAAAGGAUGGCCAUACAGGUAAGUCUGCUAGUUGGUUUGGUACAUAUUUUGUUUGGUUUAUUUAAAUUAACAUUGACAUCCGCGGUCAUACAGCUACUUUCAAGCUUUAAUAAAAAUUAACGAAAAAUAACAGUUUACUAGUCUCAAUGUUAUUUUGGACAUGGAUUGAAGUCUGAUGAAAACAUGUUGAUAUUGUUAGCUCUGUAGGGUGAACAUAAGACGCAUAACCUAGAGGUCAAAAGUUUAACCGCUAGGGAUCGUGGGUAAUACAAAAUCUUCUUGGAAUUAUUAUAAUUAUAGAACUGAGAAUCAAUGCUAAUAUUAGACAAAGGAAAAAUUAGUUUUAGCUCUAUGUGACAAUAAAAAAGAUCAGAAAAGGUUAAAAUUUGAAAUAUAGAGAAUCUGUCAUUGGUCUUCGGUUAAGAUCAGAAAAUCCCAACCCGAGGGCGCACCGCUUAAGUCUUAAACGAGGCUGUUGGGAUUUCCGAUCUUCACUGGACGCCAAUGAUGGAUUCUAUUUCUCACCUACCACAACAGAAACAAUAAAACAAGCAUGAAAAUAUGAAACUAUUUAAAACGCGGGAAUUGACGUCUGUUAGCAGAAUUGACGUCGUGACAUUUCAAUGACGCACAAUAACAAAGUUCCGCUUUAGUUUUAUCGUUUGUAGCGUAACGGUACGUUCUUAUCAUAAAGUAAUGAAUUUUGAAUCAAGAAAUACACCAUAAGGAAUAAAGAGAAAAGAUAAAGGUACCUGAUUUUUAAUUAUUUUACAUAAAUAAUAUGUAUAUUCAAUGCAUGAAGUAGUCUGUCACAGGAGUGUGGGAUAACCCAUGUGAGAUAAGAUUUUCCAGCAUUUCUAUAAAUAGAGAUUCUUCUGUCCGAUCAGUGAGAAAAUUGAGGGUUGACAUGUCUUAAUACUUAAUCAAUGAUUUC